rnacentral:misc_RNA from 1 species
CAAACUAUUUGCGAAGUAUGCUAUGUUAUACUUUAAUUUGCCUGCCAAAAUGUUAUUUGUGCUGCUGAGUGCGUAAUUACUCAAACCACCAUUUUGACUGCAGUGCUGAAAAGUUUGUUUAAUAGGUCAUUUGUUUUGUCUGAUUAUGGCACCAUUUUGACCAUGGAGCUGAAAACUCAUUUUGGUAGAAUUAUUGAUCCUCAUCUGUUUUUGCUGUUAGAUUAUGCUAUUGGUGUGGGACAAACUCAAGGUUCCACCAACUAAAUAGAUGGGGGGUAAAAAACUUUAGAAAUGUAGGUUUUGCAUUAGGAAGUUACCUUUUCAUAAACUUUGGAGCCACCUAUCCCAUUAAAAUGUCAGGUUUAGACAAGGGUUUUCCUCCUAGGAGUGAGAAUUCUAUUUCUCUCAGGCCCAACCUGACCUAGCUGGCCCAAUAAAUGAAAAAUAUAUACACAUUUUAUUAAAUUGGAUUGGGUUGGACUAGAAGUUGUGUGAAACUUGGUCUUAAGCAAAAGUAUCAGGCUGAAUUGGGAUGGCCUGGCCAUAAAAUGAGCAGGCUUGUGAGGAAGCUUGGUAUAAGGAGUAGAACAAAAUUGCAGUCAUAUUGGCUGGAGAUUAUGGCUGCCUUUGGUUGAUAAUAUUGCUUACUAGAGAAGAAAGGAUUUUAGGCUAUUAUUCCAAUGGGAGAAUUGAGGGUGACUUUGGAAAUAAAUCUAUGGGCUUUUUAGGUUCUUAUCAUUAUAGGAAAUAAGAUGGUAAUGGUGUUAAUAUAAAUCACAAUCGUAAGUUUGAUCUACUGAAUAUUAUCCUGCCCCACGAUAUGUGAUUGAAAUAUUUGUAUGAUGCUAAAAUCACUUUAAGAUAGCAGGAAAACAUUUUUCUUAACUAGUUAUUUCAUCGUUAAUUUUUGAUAUAGAUGAAAAAACAAUCUUAUUGAUAAUAGUUUCAUGACACCACUGAGAACGAGUUUAAAGUUCACAUUUUUUUUGUUGGAUUUUGCCUGCCUUCUGGAAGAAAGCUUCUGCCUUAAUUUUUCCCCUUCUCAUUCUAUGUUCAAUUGCUGCUGCUGCUGCUGCUUUAGAUUUCAAAAAUCUUCAGUCUUUGG